rnacentral:rRNA from 1 species
UACGUAGGGUGCAAGCGUUGUCCGGAAUUAUUGGGCGUAAAGAGCUCGUAGGUGGUCUGUUGCGUCCGCUGUGAAAACUCGGGGCUUAACCCCGAGCCUGCAGUGGAUACGGGCAGACUAAAGUGUGGUAGGGGAGACUGGAAUUCCUGGUGUAGCGGUGAAAUGCGCAGAUAUCAGGAGGAACACCGAUGGCGAAGGCAGGUCUCUGGGCCACUACUGACGCUGAGAAGCGAAAGCAUGGGGAGCGAACAGG